AGAGUUUGAUCCUGGCUCAGGACGAACGCUGGCGGCGUGCCUAAUACAUGCAAGUAGAACGCUGAAGGAGGAGCUUGCUUCUCUGGAUGAGUUGCGAACGGGUGAGUAACGCGUAGGUAACCUGCCUGGUAGCGGGGGAUAACUAUUGGAAACGAUAGCUAAUACCGCAUAAGAGUGGAUGUUGCAUGACAUUUGCUUAAAAGGUGCACUUGCAUCACUACCAGAUGGACCUGCGUUGUAUUAGCUAGUUGGUGGGGUAACGGCUCACCAAGGCGACGAUACAUAGCCGACCUGAGAGGGUGAUCGGCCACACUGGGACUGAGACACGGCCCAGACUCCUACGGGAGGCAGCAGUAGGGAAUCUUCGGCAAUGGACGGAAGUCUGACCGAGCAACGCCGCGUGAGUGAAGAAGGUUUUCGGAUCGUAAAGCUCUGUUGUAAGAGAAGAAUGAGUGUGAGAGUGGAAAGUUCACACUGUGACGGUAUCUUACCAGAAAGGGACGGCUAACUACGUGCCAGCAGCCGCGGUAAUACGUAGGUCCCGAGCGUUGUCCGGAUUUAUUGGGCGUAAAGCGAGCGCAGGCGGUUAGAUAAGUCUGAAGUUAAAGGCUGUGGCUUAACCAUAGUAGGCUUUGGAAACUGUUUAACUUGAGUGCAAGAGGGGAGAGUGGAAUUCCAUGUGUAGCGGUGAAAUGCGUAGAUAUAUGGAGGAACACCGGUGGCGAAAGCGGCUCUCUGGCUUGUAACUGACGCUGAGGCUCGAAAGCGUGGGGGGCAAACAGGAUUAGAUACCCUGGUAGUCCACGCUGUAAACGAUGAGUGCUAGGUGUUAGACCCUUUCCGGGGUUUAGUGCCGUAGCUAACGCAUUAAGCACUCCGCCUGGGGAGUACGACCGCAAGGUUGAAACUCAAAGGAAUUGACGGGGGCCCGCACAAGCGGUGGAGCAUGUGGUUUAAUUCGAAGCAACGCGAAGAACCUUACCAGGUCUUGACAUCCCUCUGACCGCUCUAGAGAUAGAGCUUUCCUUCGGGACAGAGGUGACAGGUGGUGCAUGGUUGUCGUCAGCUCGUGUCGUGAGAUGUUGGGUUAAGUCCCGCAACGAGCGCAACCCCUAUUGUUAGUUGCCAUCAUUUAGUUGGGCACUCUAGCGAGACUGCCGGUAAUAAACCGGAGGAAGGUGGGGAUGACGUCAAAUCAUCAUGCCCCUUAUGACCUGGGCUACACACGUGCUACAAUGGCUGGUACAACGAGUCGCAAGCCGGGGACGGCAAGCUAAUCUCUUAAAGCCAGUCUCAGUUCGGAUUGUAGGCUGCAACUCGCCUACAUGAAGUCGGAAUCGCUAGUAAUCGCGGAUCAGCACGCCGCGGUGAAUACGUUCCCGGGCCUUGUACACACCGCCCGUCACACCACGAGAGUUUGUAACCCCCGAAGUCGGUGAGGUAACCGUAAGGAGCCAGCCGCCUAAGGUGGGAUAGAUGAUUGGGGUGAAGUCGUAACAAGGUAGCCGUAUCGGAAGGUGCGGCUGGAUCACCU
rnacentral:rRNA from 1 species